rnacentral:rRNA from 1 species
UACGAAGGGGGCGAGCGUUGUUCGGAAUCACUGGGCGUAAAGGGCGCGUAGGCGGCCCUCCUAGUCGCGUGUGAAAGCCCCGGGCUCAACCUGGGAACCGCGCUUGAUACUGGGGAUCUUGAGUCCGGAAGAGGUGAGUGGAACUCCGAGUGUAGAGGUGAAAUUCGUAGAUAUUCGGAAGAACACCAGUGGCGAAGGCGGCUCACUGGUCCGGUACUGACGCUGAGGCACGAAAGCGUGGGGAUCAAACAGG